rfam:Oryza glumipatula chromosome 2, whole genome shotgun sequence.
AAUAAGCACAGUUGUGGGUUCCAAUGCCCAACAUUUGUCUAUCCGUCUUGUUUGAAUUCUUUUUAUAAUUAGUAUUUUUAUUGUUAUUAGAUGAUAAAAUAUGAAUAGUACUUUAUGCAUGACUUAAUUUUUAAAUUUUUUUUAUAAAUUUUUCAAAUAAAACGGACGGUCAAAUAUUGGACACGGAAACUUAUGGCUGCACUUAAA